GUACUGAUGAAGAGUCCUAAACUAGGACGAAGCAUUUGUCCAGUAC
rfam:Trichobilharzia regenti genome assembly, scaffold: TRE_scaffold0001634